rnacentral:lncRNA from 1 species
CUGGGCUGGGGGCUCGCCCCGAGAGCGUCCUCGGGCGGGGCCUGCGGGUUCGCGCCAGAGCUUCCCCGCUCUUCGCAGGCGCUCAGAAAGUGGGCGAACCCAACGCGCAGAACUGACCCGGGCUUGCGCCCCGCAGCGCUCCUGGCCCACCCCCGGCCGCUGGCUCCCUCUGCGGUCCCCGCCCUCGAGCUUCUGGGUGCCCUUCUCUCGCCACUCCAAGGUGAAAGAACUGGGCUUUUCUCUCCUUUGCUCCGACUAUUUCAGGGAAACUGCAGUCGUCGACGCCUGCGUUGGCAUCGCAAAAGCCCAGGAGGGAUAGCGCAGCCGAGAUUCUCCGACAGCUCCCCACCUCUCCCGGCUCUCUGAUCUACCACGUCAGGUAUCCUUCCAAAGAUGGCAGUUCCACUACUGCCCUAGGCUUCAUAAAGACGUCCUAAGCCUCCAGAAGCGGAUACCCACGAGCACCUUUCCGGUCUCAAGACGUCUCAGCCAAAGCAGGGAAGACACCCCAAGUACGCUGGAGGGCAGGGUAAGGCGCGAAGGGCAGCCCCAUUCCAGUCUUCAAAGAGAGCUAGCUGUUCACCGCUCCUCUCCUCCAGAUUUCACCGUGCCUGAAGAACUACCAUGCUUUUCAUGUAAUAUUUUUAAAAACAUUAAAUACUUUGGAUUAAGAGAUGAUCGAGAGA